rnacentral:rRNA from 1 species
GCAUAUCAAUAAGCGGAGGAAAAGAAACCAACAGGGAUUGCCUCAGUAACGGCGAGUGAAGCGGCAACAGCUCAAAUUUGAAAUCUGGCCCCCAGGGUCCGAGUUGUAAUUUGUAGAGGAUGAUUUUGGCGCGGCGCCUUCCGAGUUCCCUGGAACGGGACGCCAUAGAGGGUGAGAGCCCCGUCUGGUUGGAUGCCUAGCCUCUGUAAAUCUCCUUCGACGAGUCGAGUAGUUUGGGAAUGCUGCUCUAAAUGGGAGGUAUAUGUCUUCUAAAGCUAAAUACCGGCCAGAGACCGAUAGCGCACAAGUAGAGUGAUCGAAAGAUGAAAAGCACUUUGAAAAGAGGGUUAAAUAGUACGUGAAAUUGUUGAAAGGGAAGCACUUGUGACCAGACUUGGGCCCGGUUAAUCAUCCAGCGUUCUCGCUGGUGCACUUUGCCGGCCCAGGCCAGCAUCAGUUCGCCUUGGGGGAUAAAGGUUUCGGGAACGUGGCUCCCUCGGGAGUGUUAUAGCCCGUUGCGCAAUACCCUGGGGCGGACUGAGGUUCGCGCUCCGCAAGGAUGCUGGCGUAAUGGUCAUCAGUGACCCGUCUUGAAACACGGACCAAGGAGUCGUCUUCGUAUGCGAGUGUUCGGGUGUCAAACCCCUACGCGUAAUGAAAGUGAACGCAGGUGAGAGCUUCGGCGCAUCAUCGACCGAUCCUGAUGUUCUCGGAUGGAUUUGAGUAAGAGCAUACGGGGCCGGACCCGAAAGAAGGUGAACUAUGCCUGUAUAGGGUGAAGCCAGAGGAAACUCUGGUGGAGGCUCGCAGCGGUUCUGACGUGCAAAUCGAUCGUCAAAUAUGGGGCAUGGGGGGCGAAAGACUAAUCGAACCUUCUAGUAGCUGGUUUCCGCCGAAG